GUUGGUGUCCGCCGGGCUGUCGGGUGCGGCAUGGAGUGCACGGCGAAGGGGCUGGACGCGGCUCCGUGCACGGGCGGCGGCGUCCACCGGCGGUGCGGAAGCUGCGGGGCCGUCGCCUACUGCUCCUGCGCCCACUAGAUUUUACAUUGGAGAGCUCACAAAGAAGAAUGUGAAAGGCUUGCAAAACAAAUGAGCCGCAUCGAUAUGCUCAGCCAAUUUCCAUUCACAUUCUCCGUGGAGCCUCCUGCCCAGGUGCCUAUUCUGCAUAUGAAGGUAGUCUGUGACAGGCCUGGAAACCUCUGCUUCAAGCACAGAAGCAGGCUCCUAGCCCUACUUGCAAGGACCAGGUUCUUGUCCCCAUCGGCAUUCAGCUCGGUAACAUUCUCCCAUUUGGACACCACAUGUGUCGUGCUUGCUUUUCUUCGCCACACAUACAUAGCGGCUUCAACACGGUCUGCAAUCUCAAGUGCCUCAUGCUCUGAGCUCAGAUUGAGGAAGUUGAGGAGGUGCUCCGGAGAGAACUGAUCCCCUGAAGACAUAUACCGGUAGAUGGCAUCGCCUACGCCCACCCUCCCGCUCUGUGGAGUAACAGGAAUACAUCUAUCAUAUAGUGGGAAUGAAACUUUUUGACAGGCUUUGUGGAGAAUUGGUCUCGGCGGAUCAGAUCAAGCAUUUGUAAUACCUUUGGUAGUGUCUCCAAGUAUGACAAUGGAACCUGCAUUUCAGAGAGGAUACUACUGUUGAUCUCCAUGGCCAUCUUGUGGAUCUGGCUUGCUUGAUCCCUCUUUUGCUGCAGGUCACGGUGCAUGCGAUCAGACAGGCCAGAGUCUGGGACACAUGGCUCAGGCAACCACCAUUUGUUCUCACUGCGCUGGAACGACUUCUUGCUUUCAUUGAAGGACUGGUUCCUCUGGUCCGCAUACCAGAACUCUGGCUUGUCGAAGCUGUCCAAUAUACCCUGCAAACAAACAUUCAGUCAUACAUUGUGCUACCAAAAUCGAUCUUUUGGAGCUUCCAGAAUCAUGUGAAUCGUGACUCACCAGGAGCAUGGUUUCUAGCUUUUCCAGCGCUGGAAGGUUCAUCAGAAUGUCUGAUCUUGGUGAGGUUGCCAUCACCUGUGAGAAUCACAAACGUAUACCUCAGCAGACAUGCCAUGAUGAUUGAAACCUAUCAAGAAGGUUUGAGGUGCAUGAUGUUGAUGGUAUGUCAUUACAUCAUGUGUGCUUCCAUCAGGCAUGGCCUGAACAGUCGGUGAGAAUUCGACAAUGUACUCGCAAAUGGAGAGGAGGCAAUCCAUCUCACAGUUCCACAUUGACCUCUUCUCAGGGGACAGAGGCUCCAAUCUUUGGCAGGUCCCGAACACAGUUGCUGCAGCCAAGAACAAGCAGAGAAGUUACAAGUUAGCAUACCACAGUAAGUAAUCCAUCUGGAAUUCAUAGAUACAUACCAUAGAGGUUGGUGAUUGCAUUGGAGAUGGCCAUAGCAGUGCAGACACCUUUGCCGCUCCCCGACAUGUCCUCCCCAAGCAGCAAUUUGGUGUACUUAUCCUUCAUCAGCUCCAUCUCUGAACACAAGCCAUCAAGCACUAGAAAAACACCACAAGGCCCAUCAACUAAACAGGUUGCCAUCCAUUACCUUCAUCCUCCAUUUGCUUCUCGUCGACUACCUGCUGCAGUUUCUUCAUGCUCAGCCUGCUCACGGACGGUGAGAGGCGCGAUGCUGCUGCUGCUGCUGCCAACUUGGACGACGUACGGGUCAUGCUGUGGCCACCACGCCCCAGUGGCGACGCGCAAUGCUCCUGUUCGUCGCCGCUGUCGGAGAACGAGGCUACGCGGAACAGCGGGCGCUUGUAGUCGCGGUCGUAGCUGUGGCUAUGGAAGCCCGGGAACCCUGAACUGUCGCUCAUAGUUGCUCUUGAUCUUGUUGUCGAUCCACGCCUUCUUUAGACCUGCAGGAGAGAUGAAUUGCACAAGAAUGGCGAUGAAGGGCCUGGAAUGGAAGGCAUAUGUCUCCUGUGGUCUUGCGUUAUUGUCCUUUUGGUGAUUUGAAACAUGACCCUUGCUCUAUAGAGCAACGAUAAGGUUAGUGUUGCUUGCCUGGACAAAGUGUUUAUUAUAUGGCAUGUGAGCAAUUUGCCCCCACAAUAAGGACAUUUUGAUUGCGUUGGUGGUUGGAGUGAGGUCGUGCAAGUUCAUGGCUGCAUCAACUGUCAGGAAGGUACAUAAAAAUGGUAAGGCUUGGUGGUAAACUGGCACUAAUUAUUCUGCAUUUCGUUCCAAAUUUUAAUUGCAGCUUUGCAUAAUGACUCACCGAUAUGUUGCUUCGUCAAUUGAAGGAUAUACUUUCUCGCUGCAUUGAUCUCAGUCUGUCGUCGCUGGAGAAAAAGCAUGUAAUGCACAAUAUGGAAACUGUUACUGCAUGGAAUUACUAUCUCAUGGUGGACCAAUGUACGCGUGGGAGUUUAAAUCAACCCAGAGGGACUGCAUCAUGUUUGCAUUCAUUCCUACUUGGUACCUAACUAAUUUUUGUAGGUGAUCAUAUUAGUCUUCCCCUUGCAUAAAUGACACUCCUCUUUCCUCUUUCCAGCCCAUAAAGGUUGUGUCUAUCAGCAACUCUGCAUGCCUGCCAUUCAGUAACCACCCAUGGUGUGUUUAUCCCUUUCUUCAUUUCACUAACCAUCAUGGAAUCAAAAAAUAGUAUCUCCUAUCUUUUUUGUAGCCAGUUCUAUCUUUCAUUAUGUAACUAAUCCUUACAUCAUUUGAAUGUAUUAUCUUGUGGGCCCGGGCUAAGAGUCUUCUUAACAUGUUUUGGGAGGGAAAGGUGCAGCUCAGACACGCAAUUAACGCAAAGAGCACUUGGCAUUAUCUUCUUUUCUUAAAAAGAUAUACUAUGCUUUUCCAUCUUUUCUAUCUUUGUGUAACCAGCUCUAUCUAUCAUUAUGUAACUAUAUUCAUAGACCAGUUUAAUGUAUUAUCUUGUAGGCCAGGCCAACAGUCUUCUAAAACAUGUUUUGGAAGGGAAAGGUUCUGCUCAGACAUGCAAUCCAUACUGGUCGAUCAGUUCAAGCUUGUAAGCAAAGCGACAUACUAUAUAACUACGUGCCUGCCAUGAUCGUGUACCUUAAAAACUUAUUAAAAAAUUUAGGCAGCAGAA